AGAGAAAGGAUCAAAGACUACUCAGUAAAUGAAAGGUUUAGAGUUAUCUGUUGAGUUAUUUGAAACUUAUCCAACUUGAGUUCAUAGUAUGAAUAUUUUCUUCUUCUUGCUAGCCUUAUCACACAAGCACUACAUGGAGGGAUUAUUUUUAGGAUAAAAAAAUUUGAUAAAUAUGAAAUAUUUUUUGCCUCCAUUUUCACAGAUUUGGAAAUCUUCCUCAAGUCUUCAUUUUUAUUUUUUGUCAACCCUACUUUCCAAUGUCAUGGGGCUUCUGUUUUACAGGUAUGAUAUCCAAUCUGGAAUACAUGAUCCAUAUGAAGAUUGUGUCUCUGUGAUGAGACUUUAUAAAAGAAUGCGUGCAAAAGAUCAUCAUGGGAAAGGAAUUGAAACCCACAAUCUAAUUAAUGCUUUUGACUCCUGGAAAUCUAAGGAACUUGAGAAGAUGAGUCCAGAGGAGCUUUAUGAGAUCUCAAGAUCAGACUAUAGGUGUUGGUGUCUUGAUCAAUGCAAGUAAUGCAGCACCCGCCAUUGAUUUUCACAUUGUUCUUCGUCCAACUACAGAAAUAGUUUCCCUUCAGAAAACAUGUUAAGGUUUUUCCUCUCUCUACCUUUUGGAAAUUUGUCAUGCCCCGAAAUGUGAAUAAUUAGGAAUUUCUUUUUCUUUUUUUCCCUCUUACUGUGUAAUUAGGCAUAGCAUAACUUGCAUAGUUGCGGAAUAGAUCCCUUGGUCAGUUGGCCAUUAGUUCAGUUGGUGAUAUUUCACAAAUUUUAAAGUACAUAUUGCAGUUGCAGAUUCUAUGCUGUUAUGAGAUGGAUGUUCUCCCACGGUAGUGCUAGAUGAAUCAUCAGCUAGCUAACACAGUUGAAUCUAAUGGUUGUUUGUCUUGUCUUUGCAAUUUUGUAUUUUCUAUUUAGUCAGCUUCUCGAGUUUGUAGGGAUUUCAAUGAUGUUGAACAAGGAUUGAUUUGAAACCAGAAAUGCUUAUGCGACAGAAGAAAUUGACAGGUCUAUGAUUCAGGUGGAAAUAAACUCCAGACUUCUAGUUGUCCAUGGUAUCUCUCUGGCUGGAAGCCGAUUAGGUAAUGUAGAAGUUUUUCUGCAAUCGAUUAGCCAUGAUCACUUUCUUUUUUCUGUCUGUAAAUAUUUUUUUGGAAAUAUGUUUGUAAUAGUUUCAUUGCA